AAAUAAAGUGCUUUUACUUUUACAGAGAGAAGAGAAAUGCAUGAGAAAAAGAGAAAGAGUAGAGAAAGUGUUCUGCUUGGACUUCAGUUUUCAAACCUUAAACUCUGAAGACAGAUGAGCUGUUGAACAAUAAGACAUCUGGUAGACAAAGAUGCUGCUAGCCAGGGAGUCACCAUGGAAACCACCUAAAACAUGGAUUUCGAAGAUGAAUAACUCUGAGUUAAUUUCUUCUCAAGGUGGUGAACACAACAGAAAAUGGUAAAGUGUUCUGAGCCUUUCUAAGAAACAUUGCUCACAUAUGCAGGUUGUUGCAUCUUGAUAGUGUCUGAGUAAAAUUACAACCAUUUUCUCAUGUUUUGACUGCAUACGACUUAUUUCUAGGUCCUUUGGGAUUACUUUUCCCCGAUCAUAAAGUUUUGAAAUAGGAAAUAGCUUCCACCUAAGUUGCAAGGAAAAUCAUAACAACAGUUACAUGUGUAUGGUACUUUGCAAUAUUCAAGUCAUUUCAUAUGCAUUAUUUCAUUAGAUCCACAACAUCAACCCUGGUAAUUAAGCAGAGAAUAAAAUUCUCAAUUGUAUUUUCAGGAUUAUGUAAACUAAGUAUUCAAGUGGACUAAAGUACUGGUAAAUAAACCCAACGGAAAACAUUGGGCCUCCGAAACAUACCAGACACACAGCUGUAUGUUCUGCUUUAUUAUUUUAGGUAUUUUUACCUGCCUAAGCUACUUAUCAGAGACUAUUAUCUGCAUUUUCCAGUUCAGGAAAUUGAUUUUAUUCUAUUUAUGAUAAGCAGGUCCUCAAAUAACUUUGUUUCUUUCAAUGUUAUUUCCUUAUAACGUUGAUGAUGAAAAAAUUGAUUCCCGCCAGGGCCACUGUGUUUAUGGAAUUUGCAUGCUCUCCUCAUGUCUAUGUGGGUUUUAUCAGGACCCUCAUGUCUCCCCCUACAACCCCAAAAUGCAUAUGUUCAGUUCAUUGCUGUGUCCAAAUGGUCCCAGUCUGAGUGAGUGCGGGUGUGUGUGAGUGUACCCUCCAAUGGGAUGGCAUGCUGUCCAGGGUCCUGUUCAGGGUUGGUUCCCAUCUGGUUCCCUGAGCUGCUGUGAUAGGCUAUGACCACCCGAGACCAUGAACUGUUAUGAAUAAGUGGGUAAAUAAUGACCUUACUGAUUAAUUAAUUAUUAACUGAGACAGAGUCUUGCUCUGUUGCCCAGGCUAGAGUGCAGUGGCAUGAUCAUAGCUCACUGCUGUCUUGACCUCCUGGGCUUAAGCAAUUCUUCUGCCUUGGAUUCCUGAGUAGCUGGGACUAUAGGUGCACACCACCAUGCCUGGGUAAUUUGUUUUUUAUUUUUAUUUUUGCAGAGAAGUGGACUAUUAGGUUGUCCAGGCUGAUUU
rnacentral:lncRNA from 10 species